rnacentral:rRNA from 1 species
GGGUUGUGAGGUUAAGCGACUAAGCGUACACGGUGGAUGCCCUGGCAGUCAGAGGCGAUGAAGGACGUGCUAAUCUGCGAUAAGCGUCGGUAAGGUGAUAUGAACCGUUAUAACCGGCGAUUUCCGAAUGGGGAAACCCAGUGUGUUUCGACACACUAUCAUUAACUGAAUCCAUAGGUUAAUGAGGCGAACCGGGGGAACUGAAACAUCUAAGUACCCCGAGGAAAAGAAAUCAACCGAGAUUCCCCCAGUAGCGGCGAGCGAACGGGGAGCAGCCCAGAGCCUGAAUCAGUGUGUGUGUUAGUGGAAGCGUCUGGAAAGGCGCGCGAUACAGGGUGACAGCCCCGUACACAAAAAUGCACAUAUUGUGAGCUCGAUGAGUAGGGCGGGACACGUGGUAUCCUGUCUGAAUAUGGGGGGACCAUCCUCCAAGGCUAAAUACUCCUGACUGACCGAUAGUGAACCAGUACCGUGAGGGAAAGGCGAAAAGAACCCCGGCGAGGGGAGUGAAAAAGAACCUGAAACCGUGUACGUACAAGCAGUGGGAGCACGCUUAGGCGUGUGACUGCGUACCUUUUGUAUAAUGGGUCAGCGACUUAUAUUCUGUAGCAAGGUUAACCGAAUAGGGGAGCCGAAGGGAAACCGAGUCUUAACUGGGCGUUAAGUUGCAGGGUAUAGACCCGAAACCCGGUGAUCUAGCCAUGGGCAGGUUGAAGGUUGGGUAACACUAACUGGAGGACCGAACCGACUAAUGUUGAAAAAUUAGCGGAUGACUUGUGGCUGGGGGUGAAAGGCCAAUCAAACCGGGAGAUAGCUGGUUCUCCCCGAAAGCUAUUUAGGUAGCGCCUCGUGAAUUCAUCUCCGGGGGUAGAGCACUGUUUCGGCAAGGGGGUCAUCCCGACUUACCAACCCGAUGCAAACUGCGAAUACCGGAGAAUGUUAUCACGGGAGACACACGGCGGGUGCUAACGUCCGUCGUGAAGAGGGAAACAACCCAGACCGCCAGCUAAGGUCCCAAAGUCAUGGUUAAGUGGGAAACGAUGUGGGAAGGCCCAGACAGCCAGGAUGUUGGCUUAGAAGCAGCCAUCAUUUAAAGAAAGCGUAAUAGCUCACUGGUCGAGUCGGCCUGCGCGGAAGAUGUAACGGGGCUAAACCAUGCACCGAAGCUGCGGCAGCGACGCUUAUGCGUUGUUGGGUAGGGGAGCGUUCUGUAAGCCUGCGAAGGUGUGCUGUGAGGCAUGCUGGAGGUAUCAGAAGUGCGAAUGCUGACAUAAGUAACGAUAAAGCGGGUGAAAAGCCCGCUCGCCGGAAGACCAAGGGUUCCUGUCCAACGUUAAUCGGGGCAGGGUGAGUCGACCCCUAAGGCGAGGCCGAAAGGCGUAGUCGAUGGGAAACAGGUUAAUAUUCCUGUACUUGGUGUUACUGCGAAGGGGGGACGGAGAAGGCUAUGUUGGCCGGGCGACGGUUGUCCCGGUUUAAGCGUGUAGGCUGGUUUUCCAGGCAAAUCCGGAAAAUCAAGGCUGAGGCGUGAUGACGAGGCACUACGGUGCUGAAGCAACAAAUGCCCUGCUUCCAGGAAAAGCCUCUAAGCAUCAGGUAACAUCAAAUCGUACCCCAAACCGACACAGGUGGUCAGGUAGAGAAUACCAAGGCGCUUGAGAGAACUCGGGUGAAGGAACUAGGCAAAAUGGUGCCGUAACUUCGGGAGAAGGCACGCUGAUAUGUAGGUGAAGUCCCUCGCGGAUGGAGCUGAAAUCAGUCGAAGAUACCAGCUGGCUGCAACUGUUUAUUAAAAACACAGCACUGUGCAAACACGAAAGUGGACGUAUACGGUGUGACGCCUGCCCGGUGCCGGAAGGUUAAUUGAUGGGGUCAGCGCAAGCGAAGCUCUUGAUCGAAGCCCCGGUAAACGGCGGCCGUAACUAUAACGGUCCUAAGGUAGCGAAAUUCCUUGUCGGGUAAGUUCCGACCUGCACGAAUGGCGUAAUGAUGGCCAGGCUGUCUCCACCCGAGACUCAGUGAAAUUGAACUCGCUGUGAAGAUGCAGUGUACCCGCGGCAAGACGGAAAGACCCCGUGAACCUUUACUAUAGCUUGACACUGAACAUUGAGCCUUGAUG